CACAACGAAAUAAAAGGUUUUCAUCGCUUACAAUACAGGAACACUUGAACACAACGAAAUAAAAGGUUUUCAUCGCUUACAAUACAGGAACACUUGAACACAACGAAAUAAAAGGUUUUCAUCGCUUACAAUACAGGAACACUUGAACACAACGAAAUAAAAGGUUUUCAUCGCUUACAAUACAGGAACACUUGAACACAACGAAAUAAAAGGUUUUCAUCGCUUACAAUACAGGAACACUUGAACACAACGAAAUAAAAGGUUUUCAUCGCUUACAAUACAGGAACACUUGAACACAACGAAAUAAAAGGUUUUCAUCGCUUACAAUACAGGAACACUUGAACACAACGAAAUAAAAGGUUUUCAUCGCUUACAAUACAGGAACACUUGAACACAACGAAAUAAAAGGUUUUCAUCGCUUACAAUACAGGAACACUUGAACACAACGAAAUAAAAGGUUUUCAUCGCUUACAAUACAGGAACACUUGAACACAACGAAAUAAAAGGUUUUCAUCGCUUACAAUACAGGAACACUUGAACACAACGAAAUAAAAGGUUUUCAUCGCUUACAAUACAGGAACACUUGAACACAACGAAAUAAAAGGUUUUCAUCGCUUACAAUACAGGAACACUUGAACACAACGAAAUAAAAGGUUUUCAUCGCUUACAAUACAGGAACACUUGAACACAACGAAAUAAAAGGU